UUGAUGCAUUUGACUUGGCCAAUAUCCCUCGUCUUCCUCUCCCGGAUCUUAGCCAUCUUAUAGGAAAAGGAAAGAAAGAAAGAAAAAAAUUCAAAAAAGAGAGAGUAAAGCUCUCCAUUCGUUCGCUGUUUGCACAUGUUGUAGUCUUGUGACUUUAUGAAAGGUGUUUGUGCUGUUGUUUUAUGUUCUUUCAGUAAAAGGUUAGAAAUAAUUGUGUAGGUGUGUUUCCCUGAUAGUUGUGUUACAUAUUUGGAAAUCAACAUGGCAGACGUAUCUCCCAGCAAAAGAAUAUAGGAAAACAAAAAAUAAAUAAGGGAAAGAAUAUAAAUCCAUUAUGUGAGUUUUGUGUGACAUCUUUAUGAAAGGUGGUUGUAUGAUUCUUUUUUUAGGACAAGAGAGAAAUAUUAACUGACUAGGAUUAGUUUCCUGAUAGUUGUGUCACUAAUUUAGAGAGGGAGGAGUACAGGGGCAGGUCUGAAGGUAUACCUCCCCCUUGUGCUGGAUUAAAAAUUUAGACUAGGAGAAAUACAGGAGCAUGUCUGAAGGUAUAGCUCUGCUUUGUGAUGGAUUAUUGAAGUGUGAACCCUGCACCCUGCACUGUGGUAUAGUGGGGUUAAUACAGAUCAUUCUCCUAGGAAGAGAAGUGUUGGCCCAAGCUUUGUUUGGUUCAAGCAGACUUUUGCCACUGCAACAGCCACACGAAAAUGUACUACGUGGAUGCAGGGUCAUUGUUCCAAGCACUUCUGUUCUGAUGCCAGAAUUAUUCUUGAUCUGUAAGCUGCAGUGAACCAAACUCUUCUUCACCGUAGAGUAGUUGACUCAUCAAUGAGGAACUGUUGCGAUGAAUAUCCAAUUAGGCCAAUCCCAUUCACUUUCACACGAUGUAACAUGGAAGGUACUGGCAAAGUGGCAAUAUGAUUGGUGUUUUCUUCACAAAGGAAAAUGAUGUCCAUCUGGCUUCAAUGUCACAGUUACUCUGGAAGUCUAAUUCUUCUGUGUUCUUGCAGCACACACAAAAAGGAAAAAAGAAAAAGAAAAAGGAAAAAAAAAGGAAGAAAAGGAAAAAGAAAAAGAAAAAGGAAGUAAGGAAGAAAAUUAUAGAAGAAAACUCUCCAUCGACCCACAGUUUGCACACUGGGCAGAGAAAUGCAGAAGUUGAAGCGGAUUGGCAACUGCCCCCUCCCUACUCCACCGACCCCAGAUGGAAUCACCAUGCCAUGGUGGAGUGAGGUCGGGAGGCGAUAGUGAUGAGCAAUGUGGCGACGGAGGGCAUGUGACAAAUAGCGAUGAUGCUGGCUACUUCUCAUGGAGGACACACACGGGCUUUGGAGGAGCAUAAUGGCAGCCCUAGUUUGAUUGGGGCAUAUUCUCUCUUUUUGGAUAUGCCAUGCUUGAAGAAGUUGCUGCCAUCGCAACUUGUAUCUCCUAUCCUUUACUAGACUGGCCUCUCCCAACUUGUAAACUCUUCAAUACUUGAAGAACUCUCAGCAUUCACCCACUGCGCGGGCGCCAUGGCCUUGGUGGUAUCUCCUCCUUGUACAUAAAUACAGUAUGUAUAUGGAUCUGGAGUUGUACACUAUCAUAGCCUGGGAGAACUCUCUCCAUUCUUCUCAAAGAAAAAAGGAAAAAAUGUGAAAAGAAGGAAAGAAAGAAAAAGGGAAAAACGAACAAAAAAUGUGGGGAAAAAGAAAGAAAGAGAAAGGGAAAAUGUGAAAAAAAGAAAGAAAGAAAAGAAAAAAAAAUGUGAAAAAAGAACAAAAGAUGUGAGAAAAAAAGAAAGAAAAGGGAGGGAAUGUGAAGUAAAAAAGAAGAGGAAAACCUCCAUUCAUUCACCAUUCGAACAUGUGGUGUAUCAAAGGUGGUUGUGCAGUUGUUUCAGGUUAUUUCAGAAAAAAGUAGAAAUAUUAAUAGCGUAGGAUUGUUCUCCCAGUAGGUGUGAUACAAAUUUGGAAAUCAAGAUGGCACUAGUAGCUCCCAUCAAAAUAAAGGAGGCAAAAAGAAAAAAUGAUUAAGGAAAAAUCUUCGUCCAUUAUGUGGGUUUUGUGUGGUAUCUAUACAAAAGGUGGUUGCAUAAUUUUUGUAUGUUCUUUCAAGAAAAUCUAGAGAGUAUUGAUGAACUAGGAUUGGUUGCAUGAGAUAGUCGUGUCACAAAUUUAGACAGGGAGGGAAUACAGGAGCAAGUCUCAAGGUCUAGCUCCCAUUUGUGUUGGAUCAGUGAAGUGUGCGCUUUGCGGCAUGUUAAAUUGGAGUUGGAGUUAAGAAAGAUCAAUCUCCUUGGAUUGUCUGGUGGAUGGAGUUUCAUUUAUUCUAGGAUUACUCUUGAACUGCAAGUGAGCAAAACCUAUAUUCAGCUUAGACUAGUUAAGUCAUUGACCAGGAAUUGCUGCGAUGAAUAUGCAAUCAGGCCAAUCCCUUUCACACUCAUAUGAUGUAACAUGGAAGGUACAGGAAAUGGUGGGCACUUUCUUUGCAAAAGGAAAAUGCUGCUCAUCUGGUUUGCCUGACGUCUUCAGUGUUCGCAGUUACUUCGGAAAUCCUAUUAUGCGGCACUCUCGCAGCAGACAUAAAGACGGGGACAAAAAAAGAUAAAAGGAAACAAAAAGGAACAAAAGUUAUAUUUGAAAUACUCUUCAUCCGGCCACAUUUAUUUAAGUGGGAGGAGUGCGGGACGAAGAGGAUAGUCACUGUCCUCCCUCCACCAAAUCCCCAAGAGGUUCAUCAUGUCAUAGCGGCAUAUUGGGAGGUCGGGAGGUGGCAGUGGUGUGCGAUAUGGGUGGCGGCGAAGUGCAUGGGAGGGGUAGCGACGAUGCUGGCCGCUCUGGUGGAGGACUGGACAGGGGUGGUAGUGAAAGAGCAUAAUGACAUCCCGAUAGGAUCAAAGUCCUAUUGUAUUCACUGUGUGAUCUCUCAUCCUUUUGAAGAACCUGCAUCCAGUGACAUGGGCUUUCAGAUACCCUUCCUCGAGCCACUGCUGGAUCAAAUGGGCUUUGGUCAGUUCAUCCGGGUGGUGGCAAUUCGUGAUGCUUUUGGUUCUCAAAUGGAUGGUGGUGUUACGCCUGCAAGCUUCUUGUGGUUUCAAGUUGAACCUGGCCACCAAGCCCUCCCAACCCUUCAUAAACUCCAGGUGCUCAGCUCGCAGUUUCUAGAUUUUUUUUAGACUUGUUUCGUUGCACAGUGGAGAUGAGCUACGCAGACGAGCUGUGAAAGCGCUGAUUGCUUAUGGUCAGGUGCUAUAUAUGCUUUCUUUCCUUUCAAGAUGUACUCAACAUGAUUGUAACUUGAUUGAUGAUGAUGAAUAAUAAAGUAAGCAUCCUCUCAAAA